UGAGGAGAGGAAGGCCCCCACUAAACCGAGCAGCCCAAGAUAAUUCGCUUCGGGAGGAUUUGGACAGAUUAUAUGAGAUGGUGGAAGCUCUCGUAGCUGCCCAGCGAAGGCAAGAGGAGAGAAGGGAGUUACCCGGACCUCCUCCGCUAGUGCAGGUUGAGCCCCCGUUACAGCAGGCUGAUCCCGAGCCACCCCGGCAGGAGCCUGUUCCUCCACAGUACCACCCGGCACCACAGCCGCGGUACGACCCGGUACCACAGCCACAGUACC
rnacentral:lncRNA from 1 species